GACGAACGCUGGCGGCGUGCUUAACACAUGCAAGUCGAACGGAAAGGCCCUGCUUUUGUGGGGUGCUCGAGUGGCGAACGGGUGAGUAACACGUGAGUAACCUGCCCUUGACUUUGGGAUAACUUCAGGAAACUGGGGCUAAUACCGGAUAGGAGCUCCUGCUGCAUGUGGGGGGUUGGAAAGUUUCGGCGGUUGGGUAUGGACUCGCGGCUUAUCAGCUUGUUGGUGGGGUAGUGGCUUACCAAGGCUUUGACGGGUAGCCGGCCUGAGAGGGUGACCGGCCACAUUGGGACUGAGAUACGGCCCAGACUCCUACGGGAGGCAGCAGUGGGGAAUAUUGCACAAUGGGCGGAAGCCUGAUGCAGCAACGCCGCGUGCGGGAUGACGGCCUUCGGGUUGUAAACCGCUUUCGCCUGUGACGAAGCGUGAGUGACGGUAAUGGGUAAAGAAGCACCGGCUAACUACGUG
rnacentral:rRNA from 1 species